rnacentral:rRNA from 1 species
UAUUUUGUUGGUUUCUAGGAUCNNNGUAAUGAUUAAUAGGGAUAGUUGGGGGCAUUAGUAUUCAAUUGUCAGAGGUGAAAUUCUUGGAUUUAUUGAAGACUAACNNNUGCGAAAGCAUUUGCCAAGGAUGUUUUCAUUAAUCAAGAACGAAAGUUAGGGGAUCGAAGACGAUCAGAUACCGUCGUAGUCUUAACCAUNAACUAUGCCG